GAAGUUUAUCUGUGAAUUAACAUCUCAUCUCUUACAAUGCAGAAAUUGUACAAUAUUCCAAGGGAACCGUUUCUACAACAGUCAGCAGUACCCGACAAAUCAAAUUACUAUCUCAGUAAUAACUGGACAGAGUGAUUAUAUAGAUACGUUGUCUAGCCAACCUGGCACUAUGGACAUUAUGACGGACAGUCUACAUGCACCACUAAUCGAUGAAAGUCAAUGGUCUACUGACAUAGACACUGAAAGUAAAACUAUCAUUUAUAGCUGCUGGUUCAUAAUAAUUGUACUUCUAUUUUCUAUUUGUCUCAACAUCGACAACAAGCUGUACUUUUUCACAAAAGAGGUCCCAAGCUUAGUUAUAGGGGAACAUACUAGUGUCAAAGUUCAAAUCAUCAAGAGAAAAGGGAGAGUCAAGAGAAGUAGAUGUGAUUAAAGGUUCAACGUACAACACCUAAGAGGAAUCGCUGGAGGGAUAGAGUAAUUUUCUGAAAUGGUUCCUUGUAACAUUGGCCAUUUCCCGCCUUUCUUAUGGACGGUUACAUGAGUCGACAAGGCUUCACUUCUUCGCUGCAACCUUCUUGGUCAUUAGGCCGUAUGGUUGUAAAUUCAGCGGUACAGCUCGGCUCCAUCAAAGUGAAGCCUCCAUAAACCCCAGCACAGUGGCAGCCCUAGGCUGGGAAAGAAUGGAACCCCAGGGAUGACUUGCAACUAAUACAUUUAACAUUGUGCAUAGGGCUUUGUCGAGGAGAGGUCGGUGUCCAGUUACCAUCGACACCUCCUCCAAGCUCAUUGGAUAUUCCUUGAUCCCAGAGUUCAAGGAGACAUCCUUCAAUCUAGCUCAAGAGUGACUAGGACCUGAGGCCCCAGAUGGGAAUCACCACAACCAAGCCCCACAUCGCCAACAUAAGGUGACAGCAGAGGAAUCAAAAGGGGAUAUGAUCUAUUAGUUGGAUGUCUUUUAGGAAGUUAACAAUUUUGUUUACUGAUGUUGAAAUAUUUAGUAUGGAUUGGAGGUCUUUAGGGAUUUGGCGAAGGGCUUUUUGGAAGAGGUGUAUAAAGGGCAAUCAAUUAUGAUAGAAAUUAUGAAUGGUGGAGUGAGUGUGUUGUUCAACCCUUUUAAAACGAUAGUUCCUACUUACAGUAAGUUG